rnacentral:lncRNA from 1 species
ACUGCCCAGCACCGCUCCGGCCGGACACUGCCCAGCACCGCUCCGGCCGGACACUGCCCAGCACCGCUCCGGCCGGACACUGCAGCCGCGAGGGGACCGCAGCUCCUCGAACCCAUCGCGUCGCUGGGGGAGCUGCCCGAGCCGGAGGGGAGAAGGGUCCUGCGGUCGAGGAGCUCUGCUCGCAGCCAGGAAGGACCAAAAGCAGCUGGGCUUCGGCCUGUGGCCACAAAACCAAGCGACACCUAUUUGCUUCGAGGCUGUCCGUGUCAAGGGCGUUUGCAGAGUGGCUUCACUCCACUCGGAGGUCUCAGUUUAUCGAGUUGUACGUGGGCAUUAUUGUUUAUACUGGGUGCUGGGGCCAGAACUGGUGGCUCAGGUGCGUGCUACACCUGAAAGAGGGUAUGACAAAGAGGGGUGGCAGUUCGUCCGAAGAAAUUUCCUGUCACCCAGCAGGUGUUCACCACCCUCGCACAGGCUGCCUUCUGAUACUUGUCCUUGGUGGCCAAAAUCCCACACUCCAACCUGCAGAUCCUCCCUAGAGCCCCAGCAGCGAGAUAGACUGUUCAGCAGGUGAUUCUGUGGCUCCCUUCUCCUGUGAGCUCCCCCUUUAUUAGUUCUGUCCUGUGCCUCAUGUGCGAGAGCCAUGGAGUGUACCAACUGGCCUGUCUUUCUGGGAAACUUGCCGUGACUAAAAAAGUAGUUUUCAUCCAAAGCGAAGGUUGACAAAAUACGCUCGGAACAACAUCCUGAGAUGUUUAACUUUAAGAAGCGUAGUUUCUGUGCCUGCAGGAUAUAGGAGAGUGGCAUACAUGAAAGCAGGGGUCUGCCGAUGGGGUAUUGAAUGGGAUAAGGCAGGAGAAAUGUACUUUGUGUUGUGGCAUGUGAUUUAAAGAUGGUCAGAUAUUUUUAAAAUUUCAAUUAAAGAGACUCUGCAAUGAAAUUUUUCAAAUUGCACUGCUGUUUUUCCUCUUGGUUUCUAUGGAAACAGGCCUUUAUGUGAUCAUGCUUGGAUGUGUCUCUUUUACUUCUCCAAUAACUUUUGAAGCUGUUGGGCAGUUUCACCCAAAUCUAUCUCAAAUAUAAUUAAGCUAUUUCAUGAAAACAGGCAGCUAGGUAGGGCUGAGAGAUCCUGUAAAUGUCCCAAAGGCUGUAACAUGAACUUGCCUCUUAUUAAACUGUGAUUCACAUGGUUGAGAGACCAUAUAAAUGUCUUGGUAAUGAGAAAAGUUUCAAUUACAGCUCAUUAUCAGCCUCACUGUAAGUCUGUGGGAAACCAGGGCUCUUCAGUUCAUUCUCCCUCAGAAUUACUUGUGUUCCAGAGGUGGAGCAGACACAAGCAGAGGGGAAGAAAACAUUGAGAAAUUACUAACAUAUCUAUUCUGCAAGUCAUUUCACCCGUUUUGCUGGGGCACCCUGGUCAGAUGUGCAAAACUCUAUGUGUGAGUGGUUUCACAAAAGUAGGCUCAAAAGAAUAAACAAAUCCAAGACCCCA